AUUGAACGCUGGCGGCAGGCCUAACACAUGCAAGUCGCGCGGAUGAGUCGAGCUUGCUCCAUGAUUCAGCGGCGGACGGGUGAGUAAUGCCUAGGAAUCUGCCUGGUAGUGGGGGACUACGUUUCGAAAGGGACGCUAAUACCGCAUACGUCCUUCGGGAGAAUGUGCGGGAUCUUCGGCCCUAACGCUAUUAGACGAGCCCAGGUCGGAUUAGCGAGUUGGUGAGGUAAGGGCUCACCAAUGCGACGAUCCGUAACUGGUCUGAGAGGAUGAUCAGGCACACUGGAACUGAGACACGGUCCAGACUCCGACGGGAGGCAGCAGUGGGGAAUAUUGGACAAUGGGCGAAAGCCUGAUCCAGCCAUGCCGCGUGUGUGAAGAAGGUCUUCGGAUUGUAAAGCACUUUAAGUUGGGAGGAAGGGCAGUAAGUUAAUACCUUGCUGUUUUGACGUUACCAACAGAAUAAGCACCGGCUAGCUUCGUGCCAGCCGCCGCCGUAAGAC
rnacentral:rRNA from 1 species